rnacentral:lncRNA from 1 species
AUAUCUUUUAUUGCAUGAUAGGAUGGAGGCUCAUACCACGUCAAAGGUUUCAUCACACCUUUUCCAAAACAAUCAGUUACAAGGUGUUAUUGUUGCUAGUUGGGAUUCCAUGUCAUUUUCUUAUCCAAUUUCAAAUUCCUUGUGUUGGUGACUGCUUGGCUACAAUAGUGUAAAGCUCCAAUGGACAACCUUCAACUUCAUAAGAAUCAAACAUCUAGGUUUAAUUGUGAUUCUUAAUUUUCUGAAAGUGUGGGUAUAUUGCGAUGCUU